AAGUCGUAACAAGGUUUCCGUAGGUGAACCUGCGGAAGGAUCAUUAAAGAAUCGCCCCGUUUUUUGAAAUGGGUUCUAUUCCCAAACCGUGUAUACAUACCUUUGUUGCUUUGGCAGGCCGCCUUUUAGGCGUCGGCUCCGGCUGACUGCGCCUGCCAGAGGACCCAAACUCUUUUGUUUAGUGAUGUCUGAGUACUAUAUAAUAGUUAAAACUUUCAACAACGGAUCUCUUGGUUCUGGCAUCGGUGAAGAACGCAGCGAAAUGCGAUAAGUAAUGUGAAUUGCAGAAUUCAGUGAAUCAUCGAAUCUUUGAACGCACAUUGCGCCCCUUGGUAUUCCGAGGGGCAUGCCUGUUCGAGCGUCAUUAUAACCACUCAAGCCUCGGCUUGGUCUUGGGGUUCGCGGUUUCGCGGCCCUUAAAAUCAGUGGCGGUGCCGUCUGGCUCUAAGCGUAGUAAUUCUCUCGCUAUAGGGUCCAGGUGACCACCUGCCAUAACCCCCCAUUCUUUACGGUUGACCUCGGAUCAGGUAGGGAUACCCGCUGAACUUAA
rnacentral:rRNA from 1 species